UUGCAUGUGGACAUGUCUGCCCCUCCUUUCUUUGGGAGUAGGAAUGUGUCCAUAGCAUGCUACAUUACCUGAGGAGUUUUCAGGGCUACCAACCUUACAGUACAGGUUGGAUAGUAGUAUAAUUCUCCUACAUUA
rnacentral:snoRNA from 1 species